UACGGAGGGUGCAAGCGUUAUCCGGAUUUACUGGGUUUAAAGGGAGCGCAGGCGGAUAUUUAAGUCAGUGGUGAAAUGCCCGAGCUUAACUCGGAAAUUGCCAUUGAUACUAUUUAUCUUGAAUAUCGUUGAGGUUUGCGGAAUGGGUCAUGUAGCGGUGAAAUGCUUAGAUAUGACCCGGAACACCAAUUGCGAAGGCAGCAAACUGGCCGAUUAUUGACGCUGAGGCUCGAAAGCGUGGGGAUCAAAC
rnacentral:rRNA from 1 species